CCUACGGGAGGCAGCAGUAGGGAAUCUUUCACAAUGGGCGAAAGCCUGAUGGAGCAACGCCGCGUGCAGGAUGAAGGCCUUCGGGUUGUAAACUGCUUUUAUAAGCGAGAAAUAUGAUGGUAACUUAUGAAUAAGGAUCGGCUAACUACGUGCCAGCAGCCGCGGUCAUACGUAGGAUCCGAGCAUUAUCCGGAGUGACUGGGUGUAAAGAGUUGCGUAGGUGGGAUAAUAAGUAGCGGGUGAAAGCUGGUGGCUCAACCAUUCAGACUAUUAGCUAAACUGUUAAGCUCGAGACCGUGAGGGGUAACUGGAAUGUCUAGUGUAGGAGUGAAAUGCGUAGAUAUUAGAAGGAACACCAAUAGCGUAGGCAGGUUACUGGGACGGUUCUGACACUAAGGCACGAAAGCGUAGGGAGCAAACGGGAUUAGAUACCCCUGUAGUC
rnacentral:rRNA from 1 species